rnacentral:rRNA from 1 species
CCUACGGGUGGCAGCAGUGGGGAAUAUUGCACAAUGGGGGAAACCCUGAUGCAGCGACGCCGCGUGAGUGAUGAAGUCUUUCUGUAUGUAAAGCUCUAUCAGCAUGGAAGUAAAUGACGGUACGUGACUAAGAAUCCAUGUCUAACUACGUUCCAGCAGCCGCGGUAAUACGUAGGGAGCAAGCGUUAUCCGGAUUUACUGGGUGUAAAGGGUGCGUAGGUGGCAGGGCAAGUCAGAUGUGAAAGCGCGGGGCUCAACCCCGGUACUGCAUUUGAAACUGUCAAGCUUGAGUGCAGGAGAGGUAAGCGGAAUUCCUAGUGUAGCGGUGAAAUGCGUAGAGAUUAGGAAGAACACCAGUGGCGAAGGCGGCUUACUGGACUGUAACUGACACUGAGGCACGAAAGCGUGGGGAGCAAACAGGAUUAGAUACCCGUGUAGUC